rnacentral:piRNA from 1 species
UACAGAGGGCUUUGGUUUGCUUUCAUGGU